AUAGCUGGUUCUCCCCGAAAUAGCUUUAGGGCUAGCGUCGAGGCAGAGUCGCAUGGAGGUAGAGCACUGAAUGUACGAUGGCCCCAUCCCGGGGUACUGAGUAUAAUCAAACUCCGAAUGCCAUGAAGACGUACUCGGCAGUCAGACUGUGGGUGAUAAGGUCCAUGGUCAAAAGGGAAACAGCCCAGACCGCCAGUUAAGGUCCCAAAAUGUAUGCUAAGUGGAAAAGGAUGUGGGGAUGCACAGACAACUAGGAGGUUGGCUCAGAAGCAGCCAUCCUUCAAAGAGUGCGUAACAGCUCACUAGUCGAGUGACCCUGCGCCGAAAAUGUACCGGGGCUAAGCAUACUACCGAAGCUGCGGAUUCAACUUUAGAGUUGAGUGGUAGGGGAGCGUUGCAUGCACGUAGAAGCCGUACCGUAAGGAGCGGUGGAGAGCAUGGAAGAGAGAAUGCCGGUGUGAGUAGCGAGAUGUAGGUGAGAAUCCUACACACCGAUAGCCCAAGGAUUCCAGGGGAAGGUUCGUCCGCCCUGGGUAAGUCGGGACCUAACGCGAGGCCGAAAGGCGUAGUGGAUGGAAAACAGGCAGAUAUUCCUGUACCCGCGAUGGAAAUGAAGGAAUGACGGAGAAGGCUAGUGUGAGCCACUGAAUGGAUUGUGGUCGAAGCAUAUAGCAGGCUGACAGUGAAAUGCGUCAGCGGGAUGUAAGAUGUGACAGGUAAGGGAACGUCCUUGGACAAGUACUGAAGCACAUGAUGCCAGCUUCCAAGAAAAGUUUCUAGUGAUGAUUCCAUAGCGGCCCGUACCAAAACCGACACAGGUGGGCAAGGAGAGAAUCCUGAGGUGAGCGAGAGAACUGUUGCCAAGGAACUCGGCAAAAUGACUCCGUAAGUUAGCGAUAAGGAGUGCUCUUGUAAAAGAGAGCCGCAGUGAAGAGGCCCAAGCGACUGUUUAACUAAAACACAGCUCUCUGCAAAGUCGCAAGACGAAGUAUAGGGGGUGACGCCUGCCCGGUGCUGGAAGGUUAAGAGGAUUUGUCAUCCGCAAGGAGAAGCAAUGAAUUGAAGCCCCAGUGAACGGCGGCCGUAACUAUAACGGUCCUAAGGUAGCGAAAUUCCUUGUCGGGUAAGUUCCGACCC
rnacentral:rRNA from 1 species